rnacentral:rRNA from 1 species
CACACGACUCUCGGCAACGGAUAUCUCGGCUCUCGCAUCGAUGAAGAACGUAGCGAAAUGCGAUACCUGGUGUGAAUUGCAGAAUCCCGCGAACCAUCGAGUCUUUGAACGCAAGUUGCGCCCGAGGCCUCUUGGCCGAGGGCACGCCUGCCUGGGCGUCACG